GCAAGCAAUAGCCGUCAUUUCAACGUCUCGUUUCAGUAUAGACCCGAUAUAGCCGGGCUGUGCCUAGCCCAUAUCUAGCCCAAAUAAACUUUAAUUUGGUUACAUGUGGUUUUUGACAAAAUAAUUUGUGAGAUGUGUGCUAUUUCAUCAUGUAAGCAAAGUUAACAGCGAUUACAAGGUAUUUCGUUUCAUUUCUAUAAAGUGUUUUAUGCAUCGUCUGUACGUAGUCACAAUUUAGCUCAUAAAUAGACCGACUACGAAUAAACCACGUUUAGCCCAGAAAUAACCAUGAAUUUAAUUACAUGUUGUUUUUCCAAAAUGAUUUGUGAGAUGUAUGAUAUUUAAUCAUGUAAACAAAGUUCAAAGCGAUUAAGGUAUUUUGUUUCAUUUCUUUAAGGUGUUAUAUGCACCGUCUGUACUUAGCCACUAUUUAGCUUACAAAUAGACCGACUACGAAUAACCCACGUUUAGCCCAGAAAUAACCAUUAAUUUAAUUACAUGUGGUUUUUGCCAAAUAACUUGUGAGAUGUAUGGUAUUUCAUUGUGUAAGCAAAGUUAACAGCGAUUACAAUGUUUGUUUAAUUUCUUUACAGUGUUUUAUGCACCGUCGCACAUAGCCACUAUUUAGCUCAUAAAUAGACCGACUACGAACAAACCAUGUUUAGCCCAGAAUAACCUUGAAUUUAAUAAAAUGAUGUUUUUGCCAAAAUAACUUGCAAGAUGUAUGAUAUUUCAUCAGGCAUGCAAAGACACCAGUGAAUUCAAGAUGUUUGGUUUUAUUUAUCUUAUCUGAAUAUCUGCUGUCACGCAUAACAUUCAUUAUUGAUAUACAAAAUCCAGUUACAACUCCGAACCGCUAGAUGGCAGCUGCAGUACACAAACACGAGGCCAAAUCUCGCGAGAAAGAUUUCCGCUGUUUGAAAAUCAACAACACCAACCAGCGAGCAGCCAAGGGGAAAGCAAUCUUCCACACUCGUUUGGUCUUGUGUCAAAGCUGUGCGAAACUGGAGGGAGAAACUUGAGAGACCGUGCCGGAAGAAUGCUGGACAGAGUUCCAUAAAAUUCAUUAAUUUCAAAGUUCAACAUGAAUGGUGGUGGUCCACUGCAGAAGCAAGCAUUUGAAAAAACAUCAGUUCUCAGUUAUUAAAGAGCGUGAACAGGGUGUGAAGUGGCAUGCAAAACACGUUCACAGAAGAGGGGCAAAAAUUUAAUGCUUCCAAUUAGGCAUGGGCCGGAAUGAGAUUCUGGAUGAUAACCAUAAGCAAAAAUACCACGGUGUUGCGGUAUUGCCAUUGUGACACUAAAAUGUGUUAUUUUCAAAUGUCUGCGUAUUAAAACAUCAACUUUUCAACUGGACACAAUACAUUUUAUUUUUAAACAACAAACAACAUUUAUGCCAGUUUAAAAUAAAGCCUUUAAAUGAUAAUAUUCUUUCAGUUGUAAAUGUAAACAUGAAUUCAAUUACAUGAUUUAAUUCACUUUGUGUAAACACAGUUCAUACAUUGAAAACGGUAUCACAGAAUUUUUUUGUGGUUUUUAAAACCUUGACUCUGAAAAUCUCGGUAUACCUUUAAACCGGUAACUGGCCCAUGUCCAAAUAUUGCAUUCGGUCGGGGUUCAAUGAUUUGUUGAACGUUUUUUGGUCCUACGCCUUUUACAGAUGACACAAAUAUAUAAAAAUACACAUUCAGACAACUUAACAUAGUGAUUGCUAUCAAGACUUGAGGAGACUUUCA